rnacentral:lncRNA from 1 species
UGGGCACAGAAGAGGAAAUGUAAAUGCUGUCAGCAGCUGAGAAAAAGAAACCUAAUGCAGAUCAGAGCUGAGCAGAUGUUGAAGAACCUAGAAAAUUCAGCCACUGCCAGGAACUCAUCUACGUGGGGCCGCUUCAGCACAUAGACCUGGUGGACCACUCCAUCUAUCUCCACCGGGAUGAUGAAGUCCGCAUUGUUCACUGGCUUGAAGGAGCUGUCCAGGUCGAUGACUACGCAGAUCUUGUCUGAGUCCUGGGCCUUGGCCUCGGGAAGCAGUUUCAGUGUAUCUGGUUUCAUGUGGAGUUCCUUGAUCCACUUGGACUUGAGCUUUGUACAAGGAGAUAAGAAUGGAUCAAUUUGCCUUCUUCUACAUGAUAACCGACAGUUGAAACAUCACCAUUUGUUGAGAAUGCUGUCUUUUUUCUACUGGAUGGUUUUAGCUUUAUUGUCAAAGAUCGAGUGACCAUAGAUCAGUGUAAUGUCCCAAGAGACACCAUCAACAGUUGAAAACAAAUGUUUUGAGGCAAGAUACUGCAUCCUGGAGCAGUGACAAGCAUCUCUUGAGAAUGGAAUUUUGCACCUGAACUAUGAAAGCUUCUUGGGGCCAUUCUUGUAGAUGCCAAACUAGACUGGAGAAGAUCAUGGAGCCUGCAGAGCACUAGAGCCUGUAAAGACUUCUCUGGAUAUCAUAGCCUAUCUUCUUCUCUGAUGUGAUCUUUGUACCCUACCCAUAGCCUACUUUCCAGUCCUAAGUUCUGUCUACAUUUUGAGCAUAGUAAAAAGCUCUGUGCUAUCCUUUUCUUUGUCCCCAUUUUGGAAAAAAAAUCGUUCUUGUAGGAUGAUAUUUAGAUUGUAAGCGUUUGGUUUUCUUCUAAAAGUACUUUUAAUCCAUCUUUCCACAAAAUAUUUUUACACAUACACACACACACAUACACACACACACACACACAGAGAGAGAGAGAGAGAAGAGAGAGAGAUUAGAGCUUCUUUCUGUCUUCCCUCCUACCUAUCUUCUUUCCUUCCUUCCUUCCUUCCUUCCUUCCUUCCUUCCUUCCUUCCUUCCUCCCUUCCUUCUUUUUUUAUUCUUUCUUUUUAAUUAGGAUCUCUUGAUGUAUCCCAGGGUGUCUGUCCUUAAACUCACAUAUAGAUCAGGCUGGCUUCUGGACUCAAGAGUACUGAGGUCAAAGUCAUGUACCACAACACCACUAAGAAUGAUUUAUGUUUUUAUUCUAAUGUCUGCUUCUUUUGUUCUUUUAGGGAAAUUAUUGAAAGCAUAUAUAUGAAAGAAGCAGAGAGUAGCAUUGUGUUUCCUGCAUACAGCUAUCCCCAAGAAGGCCCCAAGUUAGUCUUUCAAAUGAUUCUAAAAUUACAACCUGAACAUUUCUAGAAUCUGAAUGUUACCAUUUCUAUGGAUGAAUCAGAAGUUUUAUAUAUAUAUAUAUAUAUAUAUAUAUAUAUAUAUAUAUAUAUGUAUGUAUACACACACACAUAUAUAUGUAUAUAUUAAAACAGCCUUUUUAAAAAAUGAAUUACAAAUGAAAUUAAAAUUUAAAAUAUG